GAUGAACGCUGGCGGCGUGCCUAAUACAUGCAAGUCGAGCGAACAGACGAGGAGCUUGCUCCUCUGACGUUAGCGGCGGACGGGUGAGUAACACGUGGAUAACCUACCUAUAAGACUGGGAUAACUUCGGGAAACCGGAGCUAAUACCGGAUAAUAUAUUGAACCGCAUGGUUCAAUAGUGAAAGACGGUUUUGCUGUCACUUAUAGAUGGAUCCGCGCCGCAUUAGCUAGUUGGUAAGGUAACGGCUUACCAAGGCAACGAUGCGUAGCCGGCCUGAGAGGGGGUGCGGCCACCCGGAACCUGAAACACGGCCCAACCCCCUAGGGGGGGCAGGAGGAGGGAAUCUUCCGCAAGGGGGGAAAGCCUGGGGGGGCAACGCCGGGGGGGUGAUGAAGGUUUUCGGAUCGAAAAACUUUUUUAUGAGGGAAAAAAAAAGUUGAAAGUAACUUUGCCCGUUUGGACGGUACCUAAUAAAAAAGCCCCGGCAAACUAGGU
rnacentral:rRNA from 1 species